CUCUGCCUGCCUCAGCACUGGGGCUGGGGACAGCAGCGCUGGCCCAACCGCGCCGCAACCCCCAGCCAGGUGCCGCCGCGGAGUAGAGGCCACUCUGCUCUACAGGGCCAAGGUCGGAGCGCCAGGCUCCUCCUGGCCGUCCCGCAGGCUCCAAAGCCUCUCUGAGAUGAGCUGCCUUGAAGGGAGUGAGUUCCCCGUACCUUGAGGUGUCCAAGUAGAGUUGGGUGUCCUCAGUUGGGCACUGGAAGACUGAAAGAUUUCAUGAGGUGGGAGGUUGAAUGAAAUGACAUUGAAGGUCUCUUCCAGCUGGAAGAUUCUGUGUGUGCCUACACACCGCCCUCACCCCUUCACCGUGGGGGCUGUUCUCCUUCCCCAUGGAGCGCUCAGGGCUCUAGGUUCCUGACUUGGGGCACCUCUGUCUAAUUCCACCAGCACAGCCACUCACUAUGUGCUCAUCUCACUCCUCCAGCAGCCGCUGUAGGACUUGGGGCUGGGCACCCCCCCACCCCCGCCUCCAGCCUCCUUGCGCGCCCCAGCACCCCACCAGCCACCCGCAGCUCUGCACCCCGAAUUCUACUCAGCACUUCAGCUAUAUCACAGUGCCCUGAGCUCCCUGACUGGCACAGGACAUGGCGUGCUCCCUUCCCAGGGACCCGCCAUCCUACUUGUGGGCAGGGAUUGCUGGAGUUGGUGGUGGGACUCACUUCACAGUGAAGCGGAUCCUACUUUUCCCUUCUCCCCAUGCAGCCCAGCACCCGCCCCCCCAACGCCACCCUUUUAGCGUCACAGAACCGAGUUGCCAAGUUCUCUGGGACCGGGAGCUGACCUUUCAUACAGACGGGAAGGUUUUCCUUCGGGAGGUUCUCCAAUGCUUCCAGGUCCCUCCGUCUCCCCAACCCCCACCCUGAGCCUCGAUAUCUGAGACCAGCUUCUAGGCCAUAGUUCUGGCCGUUUUCAGUGUCACCCUCACUCAAGUGGCCACCCCGCCCUACUGAUGAUAGGCCCUGCUGUCCAUGGUCCCCACCGGCCCAGAGACUCCCAGUGCUCUGUGAGGACAGGGGCCGCGUCUGUCAUCCCUGUAGCCCAGCACUUGGUGCUAGGAGAUUCUCAGUAAACCUUGGUGGAAUUAACAUGUGACCCUCCUGGGCUGUUCGCUUUCUACAUCAGGAGGGGCAUCCGUGAACACUCUAAAUGGCGCACCCAGCUUGGCAAAGGAGAAGACCGUUUAUAGAAGGAUGACUGAGAUACCUCUGCCUUCAUCAAGGGCUUACAUAUAACACGGCCCCAAACAGCAGCGACUGUUUACUGAGUGUCUACUAUGUGCCAGGCACCAGACAUGGUAUUUUCUCUAGUCUUCACUAGCCCUGUGAUAUGGCUUGUACUCUCCUCACGCUACAGAUGAAGAAACUGAGGCUCAGUCUUAGUCAAAGCCAUACAGUUGGGAAGUGGCAGAGUCAGGAUUCAAAGCCAGGUUCAUCCGGCUCUGAAAUCACCCCACAUCACAUCUUUUUUUUUUUUCUUUUAUUGAGACACAGUCUCGCUCUGUUGCCCAGACUGGAGUGCAGUGGAGUGAUCAUGGCUCACUGUAGCCUCGACAUUCUGGGCUCAACCAAUCCUCCUGCCUCAGCCUUCUGAGUAUCUGGGACUAUAGAUGCACACCACCAUGCCUGGCUAAUUUAUUAUUAUUAUUUGUAGAGAUAGGGGCCUCUCUAUGUUGAUCAGGCUGGUCUUGAACUCCUGGGCUCAGGUGAUGCUCCUAUCUCAGGCUCCCAAGGUGUUGGGAUGACAGGCAUGAGCCAUCGUGCCCAGCCCACACCACACUUUUGAAACAUAGUUGCUCUUAAGAAGCUGAAAUUCAGUGGGUGCAGUGGCUCACGCCUGUAACCCCAGCACUUUGGGAGGCCGAGGCGGGAGGAUCACUUGAGGUCAGGAGUUCAAGACCAGCCUGGCUAACAUGGUGAAACCCCGUCUCUACUUAAAAUACAAAAUUAGCUGGGUGUCAUGGCGCAUGCUUGUAAACCCAGUUACUCGGGAGGCUGAGGCAGGAGAAUCGCUUGAACCUGGGUGGCGGAAGUUGCAGUGAGCUGAUAUCGUGCUACUGCACUCCAGCCUGGGUAACACAGCAAGACUUUGUCUCAAAAAAAAAAAAAAAAAAAAAAAGCUGAAAUUCUCAGGGCCAUGAUGAGCAAAUGUAAAUUUCUAUUCAAUAGGGCUAUUUAUGAUGACAUUAUUAGGAGCCACCAAAGUCACUUAGUAUGGUAAAGUAUGUAACCUUGGAUGUAUGGGUUGCUGGGGUCAAGAGGUCCAAGGUGACUGUGUUAGGGGGUUUAUGUCUGUUAAGAAACAACCGUUUGGCUACAGGGUUGGUUCCAGACCCUGACCUUAAUGUCUUUGGUCCCAAGAGGAGGCAUAUCUGUGCUAGCUAACCCUCAUCACUGCACCUCAUACUGGGUUAACUCAGGUUGGUUUAGCCUCUCGGCUUCUACACCCCUCACUUGUGUCUGCCGCACUGUGGCCUCAUCAGAAUCCUGGCUGAUCCUAGAUUAUCUAGGGUAUGUGGCAGUAUCAGGACAGGCUAGGUUGUCCUGCAGUAACAAACAACUCCAAAUCUCAGUGACUCAAAACCACAAAGUUUCUAUGGAAAACAGUAUGGUAGUACCUCAAAAAAAAUUAAACAUAGAAUUACCAUAUAACCCAGCAGUUCCACUUCCGGUGUACAGUCAAAAUAAUUGAAAGCAGAAAUUUUUUUGUUUGUUUUUUGUUGUGUUGUUUUCUUUUGUUUUGCUUUUGAGAUGGAGUUUCCCUCUUAUUGUCCAGGCUAGAGUGCAGUGGCGUGAUCUCGGCUCACUGCAACCUGUGCCUCCUGGGUUCAAGUGAUUCUCCUGUGUCAGCCUCCCAAAUAGCUGGGAUUACAGGUGCCCACCACCAUGCCUGGCUAAUUUUUUAAUUUUUAGUAGAGACGGG
rnacentral:lncRNA from 1 species